rnacentral:rRNA from 1 species
UACGAAGGGGGCUAGCGUUGCUCGGAAUCACUGGGCGUAAAGCGCACGUAGGCGGAUUGUUAAGUCAGGGGUGAAAUCCUGGAGCUCAACUCCAGAACUGCCUUUGAUACUGGCGGUCUCGAGUCCGGGAGAGGUGAGUGGAACUGCGAGUGUAGAGGUGAAAUUCGUAGAUAUUCGCAAGAACACCAGUGGCGAAGGCGGCUCACUGGCCCGAUACUGACGCUGAGGUGCGAAAGCGUGGGGAGCAAACAGG